GUCUACGGCCAUACCACCCUGAACGUGCCCGAUCUCGGAAGCUAAGCAGGGUCGGGCCUGGUUAGUACUUGGAUGGGAGGCAUAAGGGCAGACCAGCUGCUUCUGUUA
rnacentral:rRNA from 1 species